UACGUAGGCAGCGAGCGUUGUUCGGAAUUACUGGGCGUAAAGAGUGUGUAGGCGGUGCUCUAAGUUCGGUGUGAAAUCUCCUGGCUCAACUGGGAGGGUGCGCCGGAAACUGGAGUGCUCGAGCGUGGGAGAGGAAAGCGGAAUUCCUGGUGUAGCGGUGAAAUGCGUAGAUAUCAGGAGGAACACCUGCGGUGUAGACGGCUUUCUGGACCAUUGCUGACGCUGAGACACGAAAGCGUGGGUAGCAAACAGG
rnacentral:rRNA from 1 species